UAUGGAAUGAAGACAGUUUGGACAUGUCAGACUCUCAUUCUCCAGAAUUCUGCACUAGCUCCUGAAGGUGUUCCUGGCUUUAUUAGAUUUGUUCCGGAUGUCCUGGCUGAUGGUGCUGCCCAAGCAUGUGAAUGUUUCUACAUUGAGUGAAGAUCUGGUCUGUGCAUCCACGCCUUUUCCGAAAACCAGUUUGCUCUUUUCUGAGAAUGUUAUCAACUGCCUCUGAUGGCUCAUCUGGUUUCUAUGGCGUUCCACGUGCUGGGUGUAAUCCACUCCUUCCUUCUCUUCCGCCUGUAGCCUAGACAGGCUUCACUGGUCUGUUUAUAAAUUGCUGUUACUUUGUCCCACUUCUUGUUGAUCUCAUCUGCAUUU